GGGUCGUUGAGCGUAACUGGCAACCUACCGGAUUCCAAAUCCGUGUAUUCUAGGUUCGAAUCCUAGACGGCCCGCCA
rnacentral:tRNA from 1 species